AAACUUUCAACAACGGAUCUCUUGGCUCUGGCAUCGAUGAAGAACGCAGCGAAAUGCGAUACGUAAUGUGAAUUGCAGAAUUCAGCGAACCAUCGAAUCUUUGAACGCACAUUGCGCCCGCCAGUAUUCUGGCGGGCAUGCCUGUCCGAGCGUCAUU
rnacentral:rRNA from 1 species